UAAUUAGCAGUCUAUUCUCAUUUUAAACAUGAAAUAUUGACCUGAAUACCGAAAUCCCAAGAUGAUAAUCAUUCAAUAACCUCGUCAAAAUUUAACAUGAAAGUUAUCAAAAUCAUUAUCUGGUUAGCUAUUUACGUUUCACUUUCUAUCACCAACAAAUGAUUUUAAGAGAGCAUCAAAAAUAUCCAAGAUGAAGACAGUUUUGGUUGGCGAUAAAAAACAUUGAUUAACUUCUGACUAUUCUGGCUGACUAGGAGUCUCUAAUGGUGAUAAUCAAUCGUCUGUGAUCAAAGUUUCAAGUGAAAAAAACCCAGAACCCUAAUCAUAACUGGAUGUUGAUCUUUAGAGUUCAUUUGAAGCUUUCCUUCAAAAGGCGUAAAAUCAAUCAAUAGUUGGUAAAGAAAUGGACUUACCUCCAUCAGGUGAAACAAAACGGAUGAAAUGACUCGAAUUUCCUAUCAGAUCUGAACUAGAGACAACAUUAAUGAGAAGUUGAUAUUCCGUGUUUGGCACUAACUGUUCAAUGGUAACAUUUCUCAUGUUUAUAGGCACUUCCUGAACAUAUCGUGUUCUGUAAAGCAAAAACAAGCAAAAAAAGAUGAAAAUAUCAUUAAAUAACAUUUUCAAAUAA